rnacentral:lncRNA from 1 species
UGGCUGCAAGCACAAACAGGAGGUAACAGUAAGUGAAAAGCUGGUGAAACCCAUACCACUAGGAAAUCGCAAGAGAUGCCGGAGACGAGAUUGAAAAACCCCGUAUCUCUAAGCCUGACAAUACCAAGAUUGCAAUGCAAGCACCAAAAAGACCAAGAAACCGUGUGUAACACACUGGAUCACCAACCUUUGAAAUUCAGUAUCCAAUCCUUAAUUACUGUCACCAUGUGGUCUACACAUCCACCCAACAAACAAAACACGUUGCGUGAUUAACAAAAGAAAACAGUAGCAUUUAGCGAGAAAACCAAGGUAGAUGAGCAUUUUAUGGGGCUAUCAGAAGAUCCAGAUUUGAGAUUGAAAACUUAUCAGGUGUCCAACCAGGCGUCCAUAACCAUAAGAGAGAUCAAGUUGGAUAUUUGAAGAACAUAAGCAUCUGCACUGAAGAUAAAAAAAUGACAGCAGAAUACACUACAAACACUUCUGAAAAGAUUUAUCUCAGCUCUGUAUUACCAGCAGUUUGGACAAAGAGAGAAGGGAAUCGCUAUCAUUAGGGAAGGAAACUGGAAUGAAAACCUCAACAACUACAGAAACCUCAAUGCAAAUCGGCAAGGAAACACGCGGCUCCUUGGAGAGACGCAUUCACUGCCCCAAGGCACAAUCGCUGCAAGCACAAAUAGGAGGCACCAUUUAAGUAAAAAACAGGUGAAACCCGUACAACUAGGAAAUCAAAAGAGAUGCCGAAGACAAGAUUGAAAAAGCCUUUUCUCGAAGCCUUGACAAUACCAAGAUUGUGUUGCAAGCACCAAAAAGACCAAGAAACCAUGCAUAAUGCAUGCUGGAUCACCAACCUUUGAAAUUUCAAAAUCCACUCCCUACUUACUGUCACCAUGUGUCUACACAUCCCCACAACAAACUAAUACAAGUUGGCGUGAUAAACAAAAGAAAACAGUAGCACAAAAAAUAUGUAGCGAGAAAAUCAAAAGUAGAGCAGCACUUUAUGGGGCUAUCAAAAGAUCGAUGUUUGAGAUUGAGUACUUAUCAGGUGUCCAACCAGGUGUGAGAACAUAAGCAUCUGGAAUGAAAAAAAACUGAAAAUGGCAGCAAAAUAUGCUAUACACACUUGUGAAAAGAUCUAUCCUUGGUCAACAAUUUUCCUAUACCAGCAGUUUUGACAAAGAUAAGGGAAUCACUAUAAUUAGGAUAGUUUUAAAAUCUCAAUACUCAUAUAAGCCUAAACUACAGAGACCUCAAUGACCGGCAAGGAGAACAAGGCAGCUCCAUGCAAGGAGGAAUUCACUUCUCUAGGGCACAAUGGCUGGCAAGCACAAACAAGAGGUAACAGUAAGUGAAAAGCUGGUGAAACCCCCUUUUCCGAAGCCUGACAAUAUCAAGAUGGCAAUGCAAGCACCAAAAAGACCAAAACCUUUGAAAUUCAAUAUCCAAUCCUUAAUUACUGUCACCAUGUGGUCUCCACAUCCACCCAACAAACAAAAACAAGUUUGGCGUGAUAAACAAAAGAAAACGCACAGAAGAUAUGUAGCGAGGAAACCAAAGAUAGACAUGCACUUUAUGGCUAUCAAAAGAUCAAGAUUUGAAUUGAAUACUUAUCAGGUGUCCGCAACCAGGCGUCCAUAACCUUGAGAGAGAUCUCACAAGUUGGAUAAUUGAAGAACAUAAGCAUCUGGACUGAAGAGGAAAAAAUGCAGCAAAAUACACUACAAACACUUGUGAAAAGAUUUAUCUCGGGUGACAAUUUCUGUAUUACCAGCAGUUUGGACAAAGAAGGGAAUCACUAACAUUAGGGAAGGAAACUGGAAUGAAAAUCUCAAUAAUUAUAGAAGUCUGAACUACAGAAACCUCAAUGCAAAUCAGCAAGGAAACACGCGGCUCCAUGUAAAGACGCAUUCACUGCUCUAAGGCCCAAUGACUGCAGCACAAAUAGGAGGCAACAUUUAAGUGAAAAACUGGUGAAACCAGUACCCAUUAGGAAAUCAAAAGAAAUGCUAGAGAUGAAAUUGAAAAACCCCCUUUCUCAAAGCCUGACAAUACCAAGAUUGCAUUGCAAGCACCAAAAAGACCAAGAAACCAUGCACGACGCAUGCUGGAUCACCACCCCUCAGAAAUUUCAAAAUCCAAUCCUUAAUCACUAUCACCAUGUGGUCUACACAUCCCAACAACAAACAAAUACAAGUUGGUAUGAUAAACAAAAGAAAAUAGUAGAAAAGAAGAUAUGUAGCGAGAAUAUGCUAUACACACUUGUGAAAAGAUCUAAUGUCGGUUGACAAUUUCCGUACACCAGCAGUUUGACAAAGAUAAAUAAUCACUCUGAUUAGGGAAGAAAAUUGGAUUGGAAAUCUCAAUACUCAUCUAAGCCUAAACUAUAGAGACCAACGGAGACCUCAAUGUUUGGCAAGGAAAACAAGGAGGGGCUCCAUGCAAGGAGGAAUUCACUUCUCUAGGGCCAGUGGCUGCAAGCACAAACAGGGGGCAACAGUAAGUGAAAAGCUGCUGAAACCCAUACCAAUAGGAUAUCACAACAAAAGCCAGACACAAGAUUGAAAUUCCCCCUUUCUUGAAGCAUGACAAUAUCAGGAUUGCAAUGCAAGCACCAAAAAGACAAAGAAACCGUGUGUAACAACCUUGGAAACUUCAAAAUCCAGCACUUAAUUCCUGUCACUGUGUGGUCCAACAAACAAAACAAGUUGGCAUGAUAACCAAAAGAAAACAGAAGCUGAGAAGAUGAGUAGGGAGACCACCAAAAGUGGAAGAGCACUUUAUGAGGCUAUCUAAGGAUGCAGAAUUGAGUACUUAUCAGGUGUCCAUAAUGAUAAGAGAUCUCAUCAGCUGGAUGAUCGAAGAACACAAGCAUCUGGACUGAAAAAUAAAAUGGCAGCAGAAUACACUACAUGCUUGUGGAAAGAACAAUCUUA